CGACCGCUAGUUCAACUACAGAGUCGACAGCCUCAAUCCCCCCCAGAGCCUCUGUCUCUACAUUUCAAAGUGGAAAUGAUGAUGAUGCUGCAGGCAUUGGAGAGGUCACUGAGAGAAUAGAAGAGCUUGUGCUGGCAUCACAGAGCCUACUGGAUGUCGCUGCAGCAAUCAGAGAGCUCAUCAGUUUGGCUGCCACUCAAAGAGUCAUCUUGACUCCUUCCCAGCUACAUACCAUCAAGCAAGGGUUCUGCUGUGUUGUUUGUUUGAAUUUGAUCGAGGAGCCAGUCUUCGCACAGUGUUGCCGAAGCAUUAUUGGCUGCAAAACAUGUGUGGAACGGUGGCAGCAGACCUUUGUGCACUGUCCAAAAUGUAGAGGGAACACCGCAGAAAACAACAUCUUUGAAGUUACUGGUCUUUUAGAGGCAUUUUCUGUUCUGAGAUCCCUUUUUGAGGAUUUGUAAUAUCUGUAGAUGUCCAGCUUACUGACAUAACAAAUAUCACAAAUAAUA